rnacentral:rRNA from 1 species
UACGGGGGGGGCAAGCGUUGUUCGGAAUUACUGGGCGUAAAGGGUUCGUAGGUGGCCUGCUAAGUCACACGUGAAAUCCCUCAGCUUAACUGGGGAACUGCGUGUGAGACUGGCGGGCUUGAGUGCAGGAGAGGAACGCGGAAUUCCAGGUGUAGCGGUGAAAUGCGUAGAUAUCUGGAGGAACACCGGUGGCGAAGGCGGCGUUCUGGACUGCUACUGACACUGAGGAACGAAAGCCAGGGGAGCAAACGGG